AGGCAGCAGUGGGGAAUAUUGGGCAAUGGGCGCAAGCCUGACCCAGCAACGCCGCGUGAAGGAAGAAGGCUUUCGGGUUGUAAACUUCUUUUCUCAGGGACGAAGCAAGUGACGGUACCUGAGGAAUAAGCCACGGCUAACUACGUGCC
rnacentral:rRNA from 1 species